rnacentral:tRNA from 1 species
GGAGAUGUAGCUCAGUGGCAGAGCACUUGCCCAGCAUGGUGUGGUCCUGGGUUCAAUCCCCAGCACUGCCC